rnacentral:rRNA from 1 species
GACGAACGCUGGCGGCGUGCUUAACACAUGCAAGUCGAACGGUGAAGCCCUUCGGGGUGGAUCAGUGGCGAACGGGUGAGUAACACGUGGGAAAUCUGCCCUGCACUCUGGGACAAGCCUUGGAAACGAGGUCUAAUACCGGAUAUGACCUUCUCCUGCAUGGGGGUUGGUGGAAAGCUCCGGCGGUGCAGGAUGAUCCCGCGGCCUAUCAGCUUGUUGGUGGGGUAAUGGCCUACCAAGGCGACGACGGGUAGCCGGCCUGAGAGGGCGACCGGCCACACUGGGACUGAGACACGGCCCAGACUCCUACGGGAGGCAGCAGUGGGGAAUAUUGCACAAUGGGCGGAAGCCUGAUGCAGCGACGCCGCGUGAGGGAUGACGGCCUUCGGGUCGUAAACCUCUUUCAGCAGGGAAGAAGCGCAAGUGACGGUACCUGCAGAAGAAGCACCGGCUAACUACGUGCCAGCCGCCGCCGUAACAC